UGCAUUCACAGGAAGCUGGAUCAGAAGCAGAGCAGCCGGGACUCAAACCUGCACGUCUGAUACGGGAUGCGGGCGUCCCACGUGCUGGCUUCCCUACACCAGCCUCUGAAUUCCCGUGUUCAUGUGCGGAAACUGAAGCCCAGGUGCAGAGCCCGGAGCCUGAUGUGAAUCCUGAGUGGCUGAAACCAAGGCCACAGCUGCCUGUGUCCUGAUUCUGACGAAGCCAAGACCUCUCCGCGAUCAAGAGUUGUGGGGAUCUCUGCCACGGCGCGGGGCUCAGCGUCGCUGCUCGGGAGGCUCCCAUCCCACAGUGGGGCACCUGGUUCGAGUCUUGGCUACUCCACCUCCCACCCAGCUUCCCACUGGAGCACACACACCCUGGGAGGCUGCAGGCGAUGGCUCAAGUGCCUGGGCCCUGGCACCCAUGUGGGAGACCAGGAUGGAGUUCCCAGCUUCACCUGGCCCAGGCAUUUGGGGAGUGAACCAA